rnacentral:rRNA from 1 species
AUACGGAGGGUGCAAGCGUUGUUCGGAAUUACUGGGCGUAAAGCGCGCGUAGGCGGUCUGUUAUGUCAGAUGUGAAAGUCCUCGGCUCAACCGGGGAAGUGCAUUUGAAACUGGCAGACUUGAGUACUGGAGGGGGUGGUGGAAUUCCCGGUGUAGAGGUGAAAUUCGUAGAUAUCGGGAUGAAUACCGGUGGCGAAGGCGACCACCUGGCCAGAUACUGACGCUGAGGUGCGAAAGCGUGGGGAGCAAACAGGAUUAGAAACCCCAGUAGUCC